ensembl:snRNA U6 U6 spliceosomal RNA
UGCUGCUAUGGCAGCACAUGUACUAAAAUUGAAAUGACAGAGAAGAUUAGCAUGGCCCUUAAAGCAAGGAUGACAAACAAGUUCAUGAAGCAUUUCAUAUUUUU